rnacentral:rRNA from 1 species
UGGGGAAUAUUGGACAAUGGGCGCAAGCCUGAUCCAGCCAUGCCGCGUGAGUGAUGAAGGCCUUAGGGUUGUAAAGCUCUUUCGCCGACGAAGAUAAUGACGGUAGUCGGAGAAGAAGCCCCGGCUAACUUCGUGCCAGCAGCCGCGGUAAUACGAAGGGGGCUAGCGUUGUUCGGAAUCACUGGGCGUAAAGCGCACGUAGGCGGAUUGUUAAGUCAGGGGUGAAAGCCUGGAGCUCAACUCCAGAACUGCCCUUGAUACUGGCAAUCUCGAGUCCGGAAGAGGUAAGUGGAACUGCGAGUGUAGAGGUGAAAUUCGUAGAUAUUCGCAAGAACACCAGUGGCGAAGGCGGCUUACUGGUCCGGUACUGACGCUGAGGUGCGAAAGCGUGGGGAGCAAAACAGGAUUAGAUACCCUGGUAGUCCACGCCGUAAACGAUGGAGGCUAGCCGUUGGCGAGCAUGCUCGUCAGUGGCGCAGCUAACGCAUUAAGCCUCCCGCCUGGGGGAGUACGGUCGCAAGAUUAAAACUCAAAGGAAUUGACGGGGUCAUAGCUGUUU